CUGUACACAGGCUUGCUGUAUUAUUAUAUUUUUGUGGUAGCUAUGCAUCCAUUGUGAAAACAAAAAUGUUAUGUUAAUAUUUUUUCAAACAUAAAAGUGCUUGGUAGUAAAGGGGUUAAGUGUGUGUUUCACAGAAGAUUUGCCAAUAAUAAAAGAUUCUAAUCUAAUGUAGAUCUAAUUUUCCCUUGAAUGUGAUUCAACAUGUGGAUGAAUAGUUAGAACACCUGCUCCUAAUUAAUUCAUUCUUAAUCUAUCAAUUACCUUAUCUAGUGGGUGAUCAAAUAUGUGAUAUUGAGCAAUGUAAUAAAAUAUAUAAUCAAAUAUUAUACAGUGAAGCAGACUCAUUUCUCUAAAGGGUGUUGAAGGAAAACCCAAUAUCUAAUUACAUGUAUAAUAAU